UGUAACAAAGAAUGGUUCUUGUAACAUAGAGAGUCCAUUGGACUUCCGAGGGUUCUUUCCACUAAAGCUUACUGUUCUUCAAUCUCCUCCCUCUUGUUUUCUGAUCAGGACGAAGGCUACGCGACGUGACCUCCCUCGUUCGGAUCAAGUUUUGGUAUUAAAGCAUUGGUUUUCCACCUGUGCAUGGUUCUAACCAAAUCCGGCUACCAGGCAACCGGCGAACCUCUCUCCGUCUUGCAAGUUCACCAUCGGCCAACAAGGAAGGCUGAAUCUUCAUCAACAAUGUCGACCGACGAUGAUUUCACACCAGAUCAGCCCGACCUCUCAGCUAAGGUCGAUAGGCUAACCACUCAAUUUAACGUGGAUUCAAGCUCAAACAUCUUCCCCACUACCCACGAUGGUGAAGAACGAUAGCAACAAACCUUCUCCGCCACGAGCUCGUUUGACGACCGUGAAGAAUAAGACUGGGGGUACCUCGGUCUUGAAGGAGGAGGAGGACCAUGACAACCGGGAUGAUGCUAGUAUUGUAUUGUUCACGAAAGGAAAGCCUCAACCCUUCAAAGUUGAGGCCAGAAUUGACAUUCCAAUGUUCGACAGCACCAUCGACGCGGAGAAGCUGGACUCUUGGGUGGACCAGCUAGAGACCUACUUCACCCUCUACGGGUUUGGUAGUGGCGAGAAAGUCACGUUUGCACGACUAAAGCUAACCAGCCAUGCAUUAGCUUGGUGGAACGUGUACUUGAAGACCAACAACAAUAGGGAGGUAACAUGGGAAGAAUUUUCUCACCUUCUGCGCCAAGAAUUCUAUCCGAUGGGAUACUCACAAGAUUGAUGGUCGCAUUGGCACAACUUAAGGCAGCGACAGAACCAAACAGUGCAAGAAUACACUACAGAAUUCCGGUGCCUAGCAGUGAUGCUAGGUAUCUACCUCGACAACAAAGACGUUUUCACCAAGUUCGUAGCUGGCCUGCAUCGACAAAUCCAAAACGAACUACGCUUAUAUCAAGCAACUAACGUCUCCAAUGCCAGUAGCAUUGCUAUGGCCAUCGAGCAAAAGAACAAACCCGGCGGACAACGUGCGUCUGAUAGCAGCAAGGAGAAGAGUGGCGGCAACCAUCAUCCUAAGAAGCACGCCCAAAGGAGUAACUCUUCCUCCUCAUCCAAAUCAAACAAGUUCUGUGAACAUUGCAAAAUCACAGGACACGAGAAGGGGAAGUGCUAAACGCACAACGGCGGCAACAAUCUCCAACGACCACAUCGAACUCAGACGGAUCAUAGGAGCAGACAAGAGUUUGUCUCUGAUGGCAAUGCCGAAGGAGACAACCUCGAGUUCGCCGACCGUACUCGAUGAGAAGGAGGAGCUGUUCACAAUGCGAAUUCAAGUGAAGCAAGAAAUCAUCGAGGCCAUCAUCAACACCGGUAGUCAAAAGAACCUGAUCUCGUCAAGCUUGGUUCAAAAACUAGGACUUGAGAAAACACUACAUCCACGACCAUACCCGCUUAGAUGGAUCCAGAAGGACGUGGAACUCAAGAUUGACCGCCAGUGCAAAUUUUGCUUCGCCAUCACUAGUCAAUACAUCGACGAAGUGACGUGUGAAGUGGUACCUCUUGAUAUUUGCCAGGUGAUUUUUGGCAGUCUGUAUCUUUGGGAGCGUGAUGCUAUCUACUACCGACGCGCCUAGCGGUACCAGUUCGAGACAGACAAGAAGAAAUACAUCGUCAACAAAAAUCGAGCAUGCCAAAAGGUGGAUUUGGUGACUGCUUGCCAAGCAAGACGGAUGGUAAGUGCCUAUCAAAAGUUUGUCCUGUUGAUGAUCCGGCUAGUAGAAAUUAGAGCAAAGGUUUCAGCUCUAACAUUAUCAUGUAAAGAGCUGGACAACAAGUUGAAUGAACUACUUGACAAGUAUGCGAGUCUGUUCACAGAAGCGGACAGGUUACCUCUAAAGCGGGCGGUAGAACAUGACAUCCAACUCAUCUUCGACUCCACAUUGCCUAACCUUUUCAUGUACCGCAACUCAGUGAUGGAGAAUGAGGAGAUCAAGUGGCAGGUGAACAAACUACUUGAAGCCGGCGUCAUCAAACCAAGUAGCUCUCCUUGUGGAUGAAGGAAAGACCAAUCAAACGUUCGCGUGGAUGAAGGAACAUGAGGAUACGUUCCUCCUGCUGAAAAGGAAGAUCAGCGAGGCACCGGUUCUCGCCUUGCCAAACCUACAGAAGAGGUUUGAGCUUGAAGCAAACGCAUCGGGAUAUGCCAUGGGGGCUGUCCUAAUGCAGGAAGGACGACCCGUGGCAUACCACUUGGAGAUGUUUCAAGGUGCUGCGAAGAACUACCCGACGUACGAUAAAGAGCUUCUUGCUCUACACCAGGCGGUCAAGCACUAGCAUGUCUACCUCCUUGGCAAGGAGACAGUAGUGCACACUGACCACCGGCCAUUACAGUACCUACAGACGCAGACCCGACUGCAGCAAGCCCGACACAUGAAGUGGAUGACAUACCUGCAACAAUUCAACCUUGUGAUCAAGUACAAAAAGGGCAUUCACAACAAAUUGGCGGACAUGUUGUGACGACCACCGGUAGCGACACUUUGCUUAUCAGUAUUCAUGCAAGUACAACCAACUUUUCAUGAGGAGUAUACCGGCUGGUAUGAUGAAGAUCCCGACUUUCAAAACACAUUGGUAGACAUAAAAUCAAGAAAACCAUCCGACUUCAUGCUGCGUGAUGGGCUCCUUUACAAAGGAGCGCUUUUAUGCAUACCACAACCUGCCAAGUGCAUGAGAUACAUGCAGAAGGCACAUACAUCAAAGAUAGCCGGUCACUUCGGGGCGACGAAGAUGCUACAAAAUCUGCUUCGCUACGUCUUUUGGCCGAGAAUGCAACAAGACGUGGUCCGUUUCGUCAAAGGGUGUGUGUUGUGCAGCACAUCCAAACCCGCAAAUCGGAAGGUCGGAUUAUACACCCCACUGCCCGUUCCGACACGACCAUGGGAGAGUGUCGCUAUAGAUUUCUUGGGUGGCCUUCCAAGGACGCAGUGAGGACACUACUACCUAUUUGUAGUAGUCGAUAGGUUCUCAAAAAUGGUGGUGCUCAUGCCUUGCAAGAAGACGGUCACCGGGAAGGAGGCGGCACAACUCUUCUUCGAAAACGUGGGAAAAAUAUUUGGGCUUCCCAGCUCGAAUAUAUCUGAUCGAGAUAGUCGAUUCCUGAGAAAAUUUUGUGUGCCUUGUAGGCCAAGAUGGAUACCAAGCUAAAACGGAAUACCGCAUUCCAUCCUCAAACCGAUGGUCAGACUAAAGUGGUUAAUAGAACUAUCGUACACCUACUCUGAGGAUAUAACGCUCGACACCCAAAAGCCUGGGACGAGAGCAUUCCCUUCUUGCAAUUUGCCAUCAACCACACCAUCCACAGCUCAACAAAUAAAUCGCCAUCAAAAGUUUGCCUAGGCUUCUUACCACAAAGCCCUUUUGACCUGGAGUUCACGAACGGGCCUACACCUCAGACCACCAAAGAAGAAGGCAGCAUGGUACGAGCGCAAUGCUUCUUGGAGAACAUUAGGAAGGUGCACCAUGAGGUGGAGCAACAGUUACAAAAAGCGCAACAAAAGUAUAAGGAACGCCAUGAUCGACACCGAGUCAAAGGCAACUUCCAGGUGGGCGACCUUGUUUGGUUGCAUUUGGAAAAGGAACGUCUGAAAGUAAGGCUACAAAUGGGUUGGGUCGACCCAUGACCCGACCCGACAUGACCCGCGUAGACCCGACCCGACAUGACCCACGUAGACCCGAUCCAACCCGAAUUUUAGGACCCGCGGGUCCAGGUUGGGUCCUAAAAUUGGAUCCGAAUCAUUUUCUGGAUUGGGUCUGGGUUAUCCGAACGGACCCGACCCGACUUGAACGGACCCGAAGAUAGAGAGAGAGAGGAAAAGCAAAAGAGAGCCUCUUCUUUUUUUGUGUGUGGGUCGUGGUACCAUUGGUCGUUUUUAAGUGAAUUUAUGGCGGGUUUUCAAGGUACACACGAAGGAGAUAUGGGUUUCUUAGGAGCUCGUUAGCUUGCUCCCAUGGCCUUAUUAUUCUCUAAGGGAUGGGAAAUGCCAGCCAAUAAGGAGGAAAAGCUUUGUACCAAAAAAAAAAGGAGGAACAGCCCUAAGGGGAGUAGGGUUCAAGCGUGGAAGGAUAGCAACAAGCAUAGGUUCACAAAAUCCAAAGGAACCUCGGCCCAUCGGAUUCUCUCUCGAUCUAUUACACUGUUGAUACCUCUGGUGUCUCCGUAGCUGGCUUUUUUUUUCCUUCUGUUUUUUGGUUUUUGAUUCUUUUAACUUUUGAAGGGAGAAAGUGAGGGAACACUGAACUAAAUAUGGGUCAUGUGCCAGUUUUCUGCAAUGGAAUUGAAUUUUGGAAGAAGGUUUGGGAUUUUUUUUGUCCUCCUGAGAGGGGAGCAGGGAGACACCAAGUUCCAUCCAAUCAGUCAUAUAGAUAAAAAUAGUGUGAUAUGAAAUUUGGCUUGUAGACCGACUUAGUAAGUCAUGGGUCAUCUGUUCUGACUGGAGGUCAAUUGCAAGUCUUUCAAGUCAUGGGUCACCCAGCACCUCAUAAUUAUGAUAUGACCAAAUUAGAUUUGCCCAAAUUCUUUCCCAAAAGCACAAAGAAAGCGGUAACAUCUGACCGGACCCGACCCGAACCCGACUCGGACCCGACCCGAUCUUCAAUCGGAUCAGGUCUGGGUCCAAAAUUAGAACUCGAACAAAAAACUGGAUCGGGUGGGGAUCACUCAGAACCCGACCCGACCCGACCCAUUUGCACCCCUAUUAGAAAGGUGAAGGUAAAAAGCUUAAACCCAUCCGUUAUGGGCCUUUCAGGAGCCUCCGAAAUGUCGGCGACAACGCCUGCCAACUAGAACUACCAGUCGACACGGAGAUGUACGCGGUUAACGUCAAGAAAUUGAAGCCCUUCAAACCAUCAAUGCUGGAUGAUGAGCCCGGUGAGACAUUGCCGACCAUAGAGAAUUUGGUGACGGAACAGGAAUCUGUGUUGGCAGAAGACACUAUUUUGGAGAGGAAGACAACCACAACUACGCGUGGCACUAGGAAAUUGUUCCGGGUUGGACGGAAGGGCCAGCGACCCAGUGCAGCAAAAUAGUUUUCAAGGAAGACUGGGCAGUCUCAGUUUCCCCACCUUCAGUUCUAGAACCAGCAGGAGCUGACUGCUCCCAAAGAAGGGGAGCCGUGAUCCGGGACGAUCUCCUGCACUCGGGAGCAUCUCGGAUGGAUAGAGCACGAUGUGUCAAGUUCUAUGCGAAUGACGUGCCAAGUUCCAUGCGGGAGGAAGAACGGCGUGCGAACGAUAUGCCGAGUUCCAUGCAGGAAAAAGAACGACGUGCGAACGAUGUGCCCGAGUCCUACGCACGACGAGCGGGAAGAAGCUUGACAUGCCCGAGUCCCAUGCAGGGAGGAAGCUCAACGUGCCGAAUCCCAUGCAUGACAGGCCUUGGUCUCCCGAGCCUCACCGUGGGAUGCAGAGAGCCACAAUAAACGGGAGGAAGAAAACACUUCCCGAGCCAUCCCGAGUCAUGCACGUUUUCCGUUGUGAGGACGUGGGACGUGGGGAAGCUAGUGAAUUGACGUAUUGGCAGAGUGUCACGUUAGUUGUGAUAGGGAGGAUGACUAAAAGCUGAAGUCCGGAGGGAAACAAGGGAGGGGAGUUUUGGAGGUAAGAAGAAAACAGUAGCCUCUGUAACAAAAAAUGGUUCUUGUAACAGAGAGAGUCCAUUGGACUUCCGAGGGUUCUUUCCACUAAAGCUUACGGUUCUUCAAUCUCCUCCCUCUUGUUUUCCGAUCAGGACGAAGGCUACGCGACGUGACCUCCCUCGUUCGGAUCACUUACUAAAUGUGUGAGAUCUAUAUCAUCUGUCUAUGUUAUCUAUCAAGCAGGAUUUUCCAACUGGUAUUAGUUUGGAACUUGAUAACCCCAAAACUGAAUACUUAAUCACAAGCAUCAAAUAGAAGACGAACGACAAAAACAACAAAUGAAUACUUAGCUCGCUCUCAUCUUCAAAAUGUGGUUUCCAACAAGAAAUUCCCUCAGUUAUAAUUACCAUCA
rnacentral:lncRNA from 1 species